UUCGGCUGUGCCUUUUAGAUCGGGCGGCGGCUCACGCCACCUAGCCAUAAAAGGGAUGCUGCGCUGUCGUCUACUCCACUCGCAUUUUUGCAGGCAUUUCGUCACAGCAAUAAUGGAGCAUUCUGCGACAAAACAUGAUAAUUCAUGCUACUGUUGUGUCAUAAAUCAACACACAAAAAACUGGUCGCAUCCAAAUGUUCAACCACAUUGGUCUCCACGCAAUGAGAAGUCCAAUAUCCUGAAUGGAAAUCUACCCAGUCAUUCACUUUGUUGUGAGAUGUGCAGCAAGGGAUAAAGGGCUCUGGCAAAAGGUAGGGGUACUUGCCGCCAAGGACGUCAAAGGGAGGAAGGGUGACAAUGGUGGAAAUGAAUCUGUGCUCCAAGCAGGUGUACAACGAGCUAAAAGCCAUGAACAUAACUGAAAAUAUCCACAAAUCGAGCAUUUUAAAAACUGCUAAUAAAACAUUUUGUUUUGGCUUCAUCUAUCAAACAUCUGGUCCUUUUUUUUAUUGUUUCUUUAUUCUUCCUGCAUCAUUAAAAAUGUGCUGCCAUGGCUAGAAUUCAUAACUUCAAGCUGAGCAUUCCGUUGCGAUCACUACUGCAUAUGUCUGCAGGUGCUUACUUUUUUACGAUCUUGAAUAGGAUAUUUAUUAAAAGUUGUCGGGGUGCUAUCACCCCCUAUAAAGUAGUUUGCGCCUAAUGGCGCACGUGCGUCUCGCGAAUUUGCCGCAGUUAGCGUUAACAGCCACCGAACGAGAGGCGACGCUGUGAUCGCGCAGAGGCGCCGCCCUGUCGGCGAGGGUAGACCGGCAUACAGAAAACAGCAGCGAGUCUCUCGGGGGUUUGAAGGUUGCUUAGCGUGUACUAGUUAUGUGUUAGAUUGGGCUGGCAAGCUCGUCGUAUGUAAAAACAGGUUAAUAAAUGUACAUGUGUUGGUUUGCUCAAUGGUGUGAAU